rnacentral:rRNA from 1 species
AUAGCGUAUAUUAAAGUUGUUGUGGUUAAAAAGCUCGUAGUUGAACCUUGGGCCUGGCUGGCCGGUCCGCCUCACCGCGUGUACUGGUUUGGCCGGGCCUUUCCCUCUGUGGAACCCCAUGCCCUUCACUGGGUGUGGCGGGGAAACAGGACUUUUACUUUGAAAAAAUUAGAGUGCUCAAGGCAGGCCUAUGCUCGAAUACAUUAGCAUGGAAUAAUAAAAUAGGACGUGUGGUUCUAUUUUGUUGGUUUCUAGGACCGCCGUAAUGAUUAAUAGGGAUAGUUGGGGGCAUUAGUAUUCAAUUGUCAGAGGUGAAAUUCUUGGAUUUAUUGAAGACUAACUACUG